CUAGCGACUUCAGAGUUUGAUCCUGGCUCAGGAUGAACGCUGGCGGCGUGCCUAAUACAUGCAAGUCGAGCGAGGCACCUUCGGGUGCCUAGCGGCGAACGGGUGAGUAACACGUAGGUAAUCUACCUUAUAGACUGGGAUACCCAAGGGAAACUUUGGCUAAUACCGGAUAUGAUAGGGGGAGGCAUCUUCCCAUAUUAAAAGGAGCUACGGCUUCACUAUAAGAUGAACCUGCGGCGCAUUAGCUAGUUGGUGAGAUAACAGCCCACCAAGGCGAAGAUGCGUAGCCGACCUGAGAGGGUGAUCGGCCACAUUGGGACUGAGAACGGCCCAG
rnacentral:rRNA from 1 species